AGAGUUUGAUCCUGGCUCAGGACGAACGCUGGCGGCGUGCCUAACACAUGCAAGUCGAACGGAAGUUAGAGCUUCGGUUUUAACUUUAGUGGCGAACGGGUGAGUAACGCGUGAGGAACCUGCCUUUCAGUGGGGGACAACAGUUGGAAACGACUGCUAAUACCGCAUGACACUUUUGGGGGACAUCCCUUAAAAGUCAAAGCUUUAUGUGCUGAAAGAUGGCCUCGCGUCUGAUUAGCUAGUUGGUGAGGUAACGGCUCACCAAGGCGACGAUCAGUAGCCGGUCUGAGAGGAUGAACGGCCACAUUGGGACUGAGAUACGGCCCAGACUCCUACGGGAGGCAGCAGUGGGGAAUAUUGGGCAAUGGGGGAAACCCUGACCCAGCAACGCCGCGUGAAGGAAGAAGGCCUUCGGGUUGUAAACUUCUUUUACCAGGGACGAAGGACGUGACGGUACCUGGAGAAAAAGCAACGGCUAACUACGUGCCAGCAGCCGCGGUAAUACGUAGGUUGCAAGCGUUGUCCGGAUUUACUGGGUGUAAAGGGCGUGUAGGCGGAGAUGCAAGUUGGGAGUGAAAUCCAUGGGCUCAACCCAUGAACUGCUCUCAAAACUGUAUCCCUUGAGUAUCGGAGAGGCAAGCGGAAUUCCUAGUGUAGCGGUGAAAUGCGUAGAUAUUAGGAGGAACACCAGUGGCGAAGGCGGCUUGCUGGACGACAACUGACGCUGAGGCGCGAAAGCGUGGGGAGCAAACAGGAUUAGAUACCCUGGUAGUCCACGCUGUAAACGAUGAAUACUAGGUGUGGGAGGACUGACCCCUUCCGUGCCGCAGUUAACACAAUAAGUAUUCCACCUGGGGAGUACGACCGCAAGGUUGAAACUCAAAGGAAUUGACGGGGGCCCGCACAAGCAGUGGAGUAUGUGGUUUAAUUCGA
rnacentral:rRNA from 1 species